AUUGAACGCUGGCGGCGUGCUUAACACAUGCAAGUCGAUCGGUAACAGGUGUAGCAAUACAUGCUGACGAGAGGCGGACGGGUGAGUAAUGCUUGGGAAUCUGCCUAUUAGUGGGGGACAACCCGGGGAAACGUCGGGCUAAUACCGCAUACGCUCUACGGAGGAAAGCCGGGGACCGCAAGGCCUGGCGCUAAUAGAUGAGCCCAAGUCGGAUUAGCUAGUUGGUAGGGUAACGGCCUACCAAGGCGACAAUCCGUAGCUGGUCUGAGAGGACGACCAGCCACACCGGAACUGAGACACGGUCCGGACUCCUACGGGAGGCAGCAGUGGGGAAUAUUGGACAAUGGGGGCAACCCUGAUCCAGCGACGCCGCGUGGGUGAAGAAGGCCUGC
rnacentral:rRNA from 1 species